UAGUGGCGCACGGGUGCUUAACGCGUAUGCAACCUACCUUCAAUUGGGGGAUAACUCUGGGAAACUGGAAUUAAUACCGCAUAAUAUAGUAAUGCUUCAUGGCAUAGCUAUUAAAGAUUUAUCGAUUGAAGAUGGGCAUGCGUGACAUUAGUUAGUUGGUGAGGUAACGGCUCACCAAGACUUCGAUGUCUAGGGGUUCUGAGAGGAUGAUCCCCCACACUGGUACUGAGAUACGGACCAGACUCCUACGGGAGGCAGCAGUAGGGAAUAUUGGUCAAUGGACGCAAGUCUGAACCAGCCAUGCCGCGUGCAGGACGAAGGCCCUCUGGGUUGUAAACUGCUUUUGUAUAGGAAGAAACGCUCCGACGUGUCGGAGUUUG
rnacentral:rRNA from 1 species